AUUGAACGCUGGCGGCAUGCCUUACACAUGCAAGUCGAACGGUAACAGGCCGCAAGGUGCUGACGAGUGGCGAACGGGUGAGUAAUGCAUCGGAACGUGCCCAGUCGUGGGGGGUAACUGCUCGAAAGAGCAGCUAAUACAGUAUACGAGCUGAGGGUGAAAGCGGGGGACCUUAAGGCAUCGCGCCAUUGGCGCGGCUGAUGUAUGAUUAGCAAGUUGGGGGGGAAAAGGCCUACCAAGGCAAUGAUCUGUAGUUAGUCUGAGAGGACGACCAGCCACACUGGGACUGAGACAGGGCCCAGACUCCUACGGGAGGCAGCAGUGGGGAAUUUUGGACAAUGGGCGCAAGCCGGAUCCAGCAAUGCCGCGUGCAGGAAGAAGGCCUUCGGGUUGUAAACUGCUUUGGUCAGGGAAGAAAUCUGCUGGGCUAAUACCCCGGGAGGAUGACGGUACCUGAAGAAUAAGCACCGGCUAACUACGUGCCAGCCGCCGCCGUAAAAC
rnacentral:rRNA from 1 species